ensembl:misc_RNA Metazoa_SRP Metazoan signal recognition particle RNA
GCCAGGUAUGGUAGCUUGUGCCUAUAGUCCCAGCUACUCAGGAGGCUGAGGCAGGAGGAUCUCUCGAGCAGCCCAGGAAUUCUGAGCUGUAGUGUCCUAUGCUGAUCGGGUGUCUGCACCAAGUUUGACUCAAUAUGGUGACCUCCUGGGAGCAGGGGACCACCAGGUUGCCUGAGGAGGGAUGAACCGCCCCAGGUCAGAAGUGGAGAAGGUCAAAACUCCUGUGUUGAUCAGUAGCGGAAUCGUGCCUGUGAAUAGCCACUGCACUCUCACCUGGGCCAUAUAGUGAGACCCUGUCUCAA